UCCCUGGUGGCUGAGAUGGUAAAGAAUCCACCUGCAAUGUGGGAGACCCAGGUUUGAUCCCUGGGUUGGGAA
rnacentral:tRNA from 1 species